UAUGUAUCUAUGUAUCUAUGUAUGUAUAUGUAUGUAUGUAUAUAAGUGAUUAAAUGUGAAUUGUGUGUGAAAUGGCUUGGAAGUCAAUUUCAGGUCUGAAGAGGCAUAUGGUGGUUCACAGAGAUCAUAUCUCACAAAAUGAUCUGAUCAAUCCAGUGGAAGUUGCGACA